rnacentral:rRNA from 1 species
UACGUAGGGGGCGAGCGUUAUCCAGAUUUACUGGGCGUAAAGCGCGUGUAGGCGGCUGGUUAGGUGUGAUGUGAAAUCUUCGGGCUCAACCCGAAAACUGCAUUGCAAACCGGCCUGGCUAGAGUGCAGGAGAGGGAAGCGGAAUUCCGGGUGUAGUGGUGAAAUGCGUAGAGAUCCGGAGGAACCCCAGAGGCGAAGGCGGCGUCCUGGCUCACAACUGACGCUCAUACACGACAGCAUGGGGAGCGAACGGG